AAAACCACACUGAACUGCCCGGAACUAAUGUAGCCUAGUCAGCUGGCUUCGUUUCCCAAAGAAAGAUUUGAGAGAUGUACUUCAGCGUUACCGUUUGUUUUUGUUUCCGUUUGGUGGAUUCUAUCUGGAAAGCAAGUAGCUAAUCCUUCAUGAAGCCCUAAUUAAUCGCAUAACUUAACCACAGUGUGCAACAUGUCAGAAUCUGGCCACAUUCAACCUGGCAUGUAUGGACAGGGACAGAGGAGAAGGCCACGCCGAGACAGAGAUGUGGGUCCCCCGGGGCAAAACCUCUCUGGUCCCAGUCGAGAUCGAGAAUAUGUCCCCAGAGAACGCAGGGAUGUCAGUGAGGAGCUUCCAGGACCACUUUCAGGCUCAUGUUAGGAAUGGCUAACAGCAGGACAUGCCUCUUGAGAACAGGAAGUUCCUUCUCCAUUGUCUCCACCAGUUUGGGGAAGUCAUGGAGAGGUACUGAAAUUGGAGAUGAGGAAGACCUGAGGAGACUCCACACCAUGAUACUAGAAGUCCUAAGUUGAGCAAAGCAUAUAAAAUGAAGACCAGUACAACCACAACAGUAACUGUAUUUCCAUUUUAUCCAGUAAGUGUUAACGAAAGAACUAUGUGUAUUGUAAAAUGAAAGACGAGUGAAAGUGUUUUACAUAUAUGCGUCGUUGGCCUGGAAAGACUAGCGUGUUCAUUCAAUCAUUGUAAUUCUCCCGGCUACAACUAUGGCAAUUUCCAUGGUUUGUUCAUGGCUGUUCGUGUAGUAGGUAUAUCAUCUAUUUAUAAUGUUCCUGUCCACUUUACCUGGACAUCGAGUUGAUCUAGCUAAUAAUAAUAAUAAUAGACAUUCACCACUUACCAAGAGGAGGUUUCGUAUAGUCGUGGUCACAGUUAAGUGUCCGGCUCCUGUUCUCGGUUUCUCGAACAUCAACUCCAAGACGAGCCUUUGCCCUUUCAUAUCCAGAUUCCCGCGUUGUUGCGGGAUGAUAGUCGUUCCAUUGGAAACGUCUAGGAACAGCCCCGACUUCAGACCCUUGCGGUCUGACGAAGUCGCCAGGGUUGAAGUGUAAGUUGCAAAUAUACAGAAUGGGCUUCCUCGACGUCUCUUCUAAUUGCAUGCCCCCACUUCUUCAAUGCGAGGGGGAUAUAUGAGCACUGCGGGACACUACAAACACGUAUGUUUUUCGAGUCCGCCAUUGGCAUUUCUGUUGCCGGAAGUGCGUCGACCCACCUGCAGCUACUUCCGCUUUUAAGAGCCAGGAAUUGUGUAUAUAGCCACUCUUCAGAUCCGUUCCACCCAAAUAUAUUUGUUACUGUAGCUAGCUGCUGCAUAUCAGUAGAGUAGUAUCCAUUACAUUUGAACUGAUGUUGUAGCUAUCUGUUCCCAUUUUAUUUUGACAGUUAACCACAGUGUGCAACAUGUCAGAAUCUGGCCACAUUCAACCUGGCAUGUAUGGACAGGGAGUGAGGAGAAGGCCACGCCGAGACAGAGAUGUGGGUCCCCCGGGGCAAAACCUCUCUGGUCCCAGUCGAGAUCGAGAAUAUGUCCCCAGAGAACGCAGGGAUGUCAGUGAGGAGCUUCCAGGACCACUUUCAGGCUCAUGUUAGGAAUGGCUAACAGCAGGACAUGCCUCUUGAGAACAGGAAGUUCCUUCUCCAUUGUCUCCACCAGUUUGGGGAAGUCAUGGAGAGGUACUGAAAUUGGAGAUGAGGAAGACCUGAGUAGACUCCACACCAUGAUACUAGAAGUCCUAAGUUGAGCAAAGCAUAUAAAAUGAAGACCAGUACAACCACAACAGUAACUGUAUUUCCAUUUUAUCCAGUGAUAAAAAAAGGGCCACUUUUUAACUCAUGUUUUUAUGUACCAUUGCGCUCAAACUCAAAAUGUUGGUGUGUUAAACCAAUAUACCACGAAUAA